rnacentral:miRNA from 1 species
UGAUUUCCAGUAAUUGAGACAGU